UUCUUCAGAACCUGUAGGGACUGGAUAUAGACAUAGGUACAGGACAGAGAAUUUAAAUAAGCAUCCAGUAGUUCUGAAUUUUAACUGAAUUUCAGUAUCAGUAUGAAUUCAUGAGGUGUUUAUCUUUUUUUCUGACUUUCAAAAUAGAUAUUUAUUUUGGAUUGAUUAAUUGAUUAUCAUAAGAACACUUAACAUUAGAUCUUCCCUCUUAGCAAAUUUUUUAAACUUGUACCUAAAAAGUAGUCUGAAAGGUCCUCAAUUUCUCUUCCCAUCUACAGGUGGGAAGAGAAGGAGCUAACCCUUAGAGAAGCUUUAGGGAAGUUGAGGUGUUUAUCUUGAAAACAAUACACACACACACACACCAAACACACACACGCACACACACACACACACUGAAGGGGUCCAGAAUAUGCCAGGAUAGCAUACAAAUUAUUUUGAGCAGAAGGCAUUCGAGUUCCCAAAAUAGCUACUCUGACUAAAAGCAGAGCCUUUCAAAGGAACUCCAAAAAACCUCCACUGUCAUAAAUCCCCUCCCUAGGAGCAAUAGGGAGAAUGGACACUGAAGAUGAGAAGUCUUCACACCAUACCUAAACAGACACUGUCACAAAACUAUCAUAUCUUCCACCUGUUAUCUAAAGGGCUCAUUUAUCUUUCCUAAAACUCAUUUCACUUUUCCAUAAGUGGCCUUUCUCCUCCUCUCCUUACCCUACUAAGAUGGUAUAUAAGCCCCCACUUUUAACUGCCCCUUUGAGCUACAUGUUUUUCUAACUUUUGUCCAUAUGUGAUUAAAUAAGCUUUUUGUUUUGCUAAUCUAUCUUUUGUCAGUUUAAUUCACUGAGCCUGAAAUUGCCGAGAAUUAUAGAGAAAAGGUUCCUCCCUGACAGUUUGGCAAGGAAUAUGGAAUGGUUAAGGACUCCCCACCCUUCCACUCCAACCCCACUUCCAAAGCCUGAGAUUUCAGGACCUCUGACCCAGCAGCUCCAGGUGUCUACGGAGCAUCUAAAUCUGGAUAUCCCAUGGGAACUUCAAACUCAAAAUAUCCAAGAGAGAUCCAUUAAUAUUCCCUUGCGCUGACCUGUAACACCGAAUCACAUGCAGUAGUAUUUAGUUGAUUCUACUGCUAAAAUGUCAAAAAAAUUUGCCCAGUUUUAUCCAACCCUCCUAUUAUUGGCCUUCAUUAUCUUUCACCAAGACCAGGCAAAUUACCUAAUUUCUCUUGGCCAGCCUUUCUUGCUCCAACCAAAGCAAAACUCAAAUUGUUUAACUGCCUUGAUUCUAUACCUUGCAUUUCCAAAUCAAAGUAUCUUUGUAUUAGACAUCAGUUUCCUUAUUUGUAAGGUGGGACAAUAAUAUUUCAUGAGAUUGUAAAAAGUUCUUAUCAUAAGAAACGCCAACAGUAAUAUAAUAUAGCAAUUAAUAAAAGCCCGCUUACUUCUUCUCACCAUUAUCUCACUGGGGAAUAUUAUAAAAACUAUCAUAUAUGGUGCUAAGGGUUAUAUGUUGAUUAAAUCAUUUAAUCUUCACAACAGCUUUAUGAAGUAAGUAUCAAUGUUACAAUUCCAACUUUAGAGAUGGGGCAAAGAGAAGCUGACUAUCUUGUCUAAGAUCACACAUCAAGACAAAGGCAACACUGAAUCUCAGAUUAGGUAUGCCUGAGUCCAGAUGGUGAUAACCAACAGAAUAUACCAACUCUGAAACAUAUUAAAUUCUCAUUACAAUGGAAUUAACUUCAUUACCUUCAAACUGUUGAACCAAGAUUUUAAAUAAAAGAAACUAUUAAUAGAAGAUUAAAGAAAUGUACAGUGUAGCUAUAUACCAAUGUGAAUGUAAUGAUAAAUGAACAGUGCAAUCAAAAUAUUUUAAAAAUACACAUUUUCAACUAAACAUAGUUUUACAUAACUUAAAAUGCAACACAGUUUUUCUUAAUGGUGCCAUCCUCCAAGCCCUAAUCGUUGUCUCACUGUUUCCUAUAACACUUUGCAGGUGCUUCUGCAGUUUGCUUUCCUUCCUGUCUAGAAAUCACAGCAUCAAAAACAUGCAAAAAGCUCUAUCUUUUUACAUAUUUUGUGGUUAGCCAACAAACUAAUGUGAGCUCAGUCAACAAUGUUUCAACUUCCUUAAUACUGCACAACUGCAAUGCAUUUUUGCUGCUUUAGAGUGCUGCAAAAACAUAUAUGACAUCUGCAUUUCUAAAACGAUAACAAUUUGUUGUUUCUGCAACAUAUAUUUAAGACUGUUCUUAAAACCAUGUAGUAAUUUAUACCUGUCUAAAUAAUUUCUUAUUUUCAUAGAUAACAUUUUUAAAGUAUAUGGGCCUUUCAGCAAUUUGCAGUCUUCAGAGAAAUGACAUUUAGAUUUUCUUGGGUCUAUUCAGGACCCAAUCUUGUAAACCAUUUCACUAGAAAUAAAAAUCUGUUUUGUUCUUUAUUAAGAAAAAGAAAAUAUGGAAGAAGCCAAUUAAAAUUUAUUGCAUAGGACAGUGUUUCCAAACAUGCUUUAAAGACAGAAAGUCUUACUAAAAACAGUUAAGUGAACUGUGACAUACAGGACGGAUCAGGUGGGACAACUCUGAUAGAAGCCAAGAUAGAAAAUACAGAGCCCUAUCAGCCUGACUUUUCAUUAUUCAUAAUGAGGUAGGAGGUGGAAUGUGACUCUGGACCAGAUUGAAGACUGACAGAAACAAGGAAGAGGAAACGAAAGCUCCUCCCCAUAAGACACGCCCACCAGCACCAUGACAUUUUACCAUUGCCAUGGCUAUACCCAGAAGUUACCAUCCCUUUCCAUGGCAAUGAUCCAGAAGUUACCUUCUGUUUUCUAGAAAUUUCUGAAUAGCCUGCCCCUUAAUUUGCACAUAAUUAAAAGUAGUAUAAACAUGGCUGCAGAACUGCCCCUGAGCUGCUACUCUUGACACACUGCCCAGGGGGUACCCCUGCUCUGAAGGAGAAGUCACAGAGCUGUAACACCCCUGCCUCAAUAAAGCUGAUUUUUCUACCACCAGCUCGCUCUUGAAUUCUUUCCUGAGCCAACCUUCUCAGGCUAAACCCCACUGUUGGGAUUCACCUGCCCUGUAACAAUUUCACCAUAAAAGUCAAUAAAGCUUCAUGAUGCAACCCAAAAUGUCUAUUAAACAUCCAGAAUCCUUACAGAAACAGAAGGCCACACUAACAUGAGGCCAACACCCCUAUAUAAAAAGGAUACAAUGGAUCUUAUUUUUAUCAUUAAUGUUGUGCGUCUUAAACAUAUGGGGUUAACUUAUGAAUAAGAAUUAUCAAAGUUUAUAUCCAAAAUUUAUAAAACAUAAUACUAUUCCCUUGAUUCUUGUAAUUUCACUUCUCUCCCAAAUAAG
rnacentral:lncRNA from 1 species